GUAAUGGCCUACCAGGCGGCGACGGGUAGCCGGCCUGAGAGGGUGGACGGCCACAUUGGGACUGAGAUACGGCCCAGACUCCUACGGGAGGCAGCAGUGGGGAAUAUUGCACAAUGGGCGGAAGCCUGAUGCAGCGACGCCGCGUGAGGGAUGACGGCCUUCGGGUUGUAAACCUCUUUCAGCAGGGACGAAGCGUAAGUGACGGUACCUGCAGAAGAAGCACCGGCUAACUACGUGCCAGCAGCCGCGGUAAUACGUAGGGUGCGAGCGUUGUCCGGAAUUAUUGGGCGUAAAGAGCUCGUAGGCGGUUUGUCGCGUCUGCUGUGAAAACUGGGGGCUCAACCCCCAGCCUGCAGUGGGUACGGGCAGACUAGAGUGCGGUAGGGGAGAUUGGAAUUCCUGGUGUAGCGGUGGAAUGCGCAGAUAUCAGGAGGAACACCGAUGGCGAAGGCAGGUCUCUGGGCAGUAACUGACGCUGAGGAGCGAAAGCAUGGGUAGCGAACAGGAUUAGAUACCCUGGUAGUCCAUGCCGUAAACGGUGGGCGCUAGG
rnacentral:rRNA from 1 species